rnacentral:rRNA from 1 species
ACGGGAGGCAGCAGUGGGGAAUAUUGGGCAAUGGGCGAAAGCCUGACCCAGCGACGCCGCGUGCAGGAAGAAGAUCUUCGGAUUGUAAACUGCUUUUAUCGGGGACGAAAAAAUGACGGUACCUGAUGAAUAAGCCCCGGCUAACUACGUGCCAGCAGCCGCGGUAAUACGUAGGGGGCAAGCGUUAUCCGGAUUUACUGGGUGUAAAGGGAGCGUAGACGGCAAGGUAAGUCUGAAGUGAAAUGCCGGGGCUCAACCCCGGAACUGCUUUGGAAACUAUCUCGCUCGAGUACCGGAGGGGUAAGCGGAAUUCCUAGUGUAGCGGUGAAAUGCGUAGAUAUUAGGAGGAACACCAGUGGCGAAGGCGGCUUACUGGACGGUAACUGACGUUGAGGCUCGAAAGCGUGGGGAGCAAACAGGAUUAGAUACCCUGGUA